UUAACUUGUGUUUUUCACUCAGCGUUUACGCACAUUGCUGUCUAUAGUAGUAGUCCUUUACGUCUUUGUUUCUGCUGUUACUGAAUAGGUCGUUUCCGAUUUUUAGUUAUGAGCAGUGCCAACAGAAACGUUUUCUCGUGUCUCCUUGUGCGCGUGUGCACACUUCCCUCGGGCGUGUGUUCCGACCGGGAAGGGCAGGAGUCGGGGGGCUCGUGCGGCGGCAGCUUUACCAGCGGCAGCCUCUGGUCCGCUCGCUGCUCUCCUGGCCUAUGCGGCCACCAGCAGUGAACACGCGACCCGGACACAGCUUUCCCUCUCAAUUGCCUGUGUUUGUGUUUCGUGUUUGUCCCUUUCUUAGCGCUCUGUUCAGUUAGAAUCAACGUCUUGAUUCUCAUCACAGCUUGGGCCGCAGAGCACAGUUUUGAGGACGCAGUGUCUCUGUAACCGCCUGGCCUGCUUUGGCAGUGACUUCUUCGUUGUGCCCCGGACGGUGAACAUUAAGGACACGAUCAAGCCGUUCCUCCACAUCACCGACAACCCUGUUGGGGUGUCUUUGCUGGCCAGACUUUUUGGAUUCUAUUUGCUCACAUGUGUGUGGGCUUGGAGAAAGGAUCAAGCAGACACACAGAAGGUGAAGGUCACUGUCCUGGCUGAUAAUGACCCCAGCUCUCAGUAUCACUUCCUUCUUCAGGUCUCCACUGGCUAUCGAAGAAAAGCCGCCACAACAGCUAAGGUGGUUAUCACCCUGUAUGGAUCAGAGGGACGGAGUGAGCCCCAUCACCUUUGUGACCUUCAGAAGGCAGUCUUUGAGCGAGGGGGACUGGAUGUCUUCCUCCUCAGCACUCAGUCCUCCCUCGGGGA